rnacentral:misc_RNA from 2 species
UCGUAGGGCUUCGGUCCUGUCGAGAUAGCGUCCUUGCCUAUUUUUUGGAGUACCUUUUCGUUUCCUCGGCAGGCUUGCCUGCCACUGGGGACCCUUUAAACUCUUUGUAAAUACAGCAUCUGUCUGAAUAAACAAACAAAAAUCA